UCGGCUGAGGAGGUAGGAACGUCCUUUGCAAAUCCGUCGAUCAGAGUUCCAACUGAGUCGCGGCACACACAGGCGAUUGAUCCUUCGAGUGAUCCAGGUUGCAACUUUGGGUCCGGAGGGUGCCUUCUAAAGAUGAAACGGUUUCUUGCUUUCUAGAUUUCCCAGAGGACUACCGAGACUAUCUCUAAACUAGUACAGGAGCAUCCCAGACUUCCCUCGUCCAUUUACAGAGAAGAAGUAAAUGUUCCGGGGUCUCCACAUGCGCUCGGCAUAUUGGGCAUAUUGGGUCAGAUUCUGUUCCAUAGCUGAGUUGGGGAUUGGUGAGAGGAAGAGGCACUUUGAGCUUCUAUUGUUUCAUUUUUGCGGAGAGUGUUGUAUCCGCUCUUAACUGUGUACUCUCCUUCCCUCGUACCUGUCCAGAUCAGUUUAUCUUCAUUUAUCUGUGGUCUAAUCUGUAUAGUGAGGAUCUCACGCACCACCUGUUCUUCGAAUAUUCUUCGUAGGACAUGUUCCUUCCAAGUGCUUGCCUCUUGAUUCACAAGUUCAUAAACCAAAGUUGGGUCUCCUUCAUUUGCCGGUCCCCCUAUAGUUCCCCUUUUGAGCCACUUAUCUUCCCUGAUAUUAAUUUUUUUGACCAUUACCAACUGACCACAUGACCGAGUCUUCAAUUGCCGUUCUCCCCAUAAGUAUGCUCUGCCAUCCCCAAGAUGGUCUGGAUCCCUUUUCUGCCUUCCAGAAGCACUUAGUUGGGUAAUAUAAGCCUUUUAGGACCUGACUGGACAGAUAUGUCUAGUUUUUAGCUAAUAGCCAAGCCUGUUUUCCAAGCAUGGCUUUGUUGAAAGCUAUUAAGUCCCUAAACCCUAGGCCUCCCCUGUCUUUUCUCUGUUUUAGCACUGCGGCCUUCCUCCAGUGUACUCCUUUUGUUGCUGUUUGGUUCUUCCACCAGAAAGCUGUUAUUUUUUGCUCAAUAGCCCGACAAACUGAAAGCGGGAUCUUGAAAAUUGACAUGGCAUAUUGAGUAGUGUUGAAAGAACUGGCCAUUCAAUCCAUCCGGACCUGAGGCCUUGGAGAUUCCAAGCUGGAAAGUUGCUUGUUUAACCUCAUCCAUCAUAACUUCUGCAAGCAGCCUACGGUUAGUUUCCUCCUUCACACUACAAGAGCAAUGCUGAAGAAUUGGGUCAAAUUGUCGAUGUCCAACUGAGCUUUGUAAGGCAGCAGCAGUAUUGGUCAUCCUGCUCGGGAGGCCCUCAGUUGCUGACAUCGAAGAAUUCCAUGCCUUAUUAAUAACUCCUCUGCAUUCCUCAUCUUCUAGCCAAAAUGCUUCGAAGAGCAUGGCUAGCCUCUGGUCUGCAUCUUCUUCCGACUCCAUGGAGGUGGUUUGACACCGGUGCUUCUGUAGCUUCCCGCACCAGAUGACGCAAGAAAACCUUACCUUCACAGGAGAGUUCCCGCUCCAGAGAGCGAUUUGAGGGUUCUGCUGAAGCGUUCAAAACUAUAGAUCUGUAAUGAGUAAAUGGGUUUUGAGUGGGUGGACUGUGAACGAAGCAUUAGGUUAUGGGGGGGGGGGGGGGCUGUUUGUGAUUCAAGGUGGCUGAGUCUGAAACGGGAAGGAAAACGUGGGGUAGUAAAGGUUUCCAUCUGCUUAACUACAGAGAGGCUCUUACGGGGGAGCUGUUGGUGAUUAAUGGUGACUGAGUCUGAAAGGGGAAAGAUGAAGUUUGGUAGUUAGGGUUUCCAUUUGCUAAGCUACCACAUU